rnacentral:rRNA from 1 species
UGAGGAAUAUUGGGCAAUGCCCGCAAGGGUGACCCAGCAACGCCGCGUGGAGGAUGAAUGUAGUAAGAUUGUAAACUCCUGUUAGAGGGGAAGAAUAGUACCGGUUGGACCGGUAUAUGACUGUACCCUCAGAGAAAGCCCCGGCUAACUACGUGCCAGCAGCCGCGGUAAUACGUAGGGGGCAAGCGUUGUCCGGAUUUACUGGGUGUAAAGGGCGCGCAGGCGGGAUAAAAAGUCAGUGGUGAAAUCCUACAGCUUAACUGUAGAACUGCCUUUGAUACUUUUAUUCUUGGGUUCGGGAGAGAGAGACGGAAUUCCAGGUGUAGUGGUGAAAUACGUAGAUAUCUGGAAGAACACCAGUUGCGAAGGCGGUCUCUUGGUCCGACACUGACGCUGAGGCGCGAAAGCGUGGGGAGCAAACA